rnacentral:rRNA from 1 species
UACAUGGGGUGCAAACGUUGCUCGGAAUUAUUGGGCGUAAAGAGCGUGUAGGCGGUCAGGUAGGUCCGUUGUGAAAACUCGAGGCUCAACCUCGAGACGCCGAUGGAAACCAUCUGACUAGAGUCCGGAAGAGGAGAGUGGAAUUCCUGGUGUAGCGGUGAAAUGCGCAGAUAUCAGGAAGAACACCCGUGGCUAAGGCGGCUCUCUAGUACGGUACUGACGCUGAGACGCGAAAGCGUGGGGAGCGAACAGG